AGAGUUUGAUCCUGGCUCAGGAUGAACGCUGGCGGCGUGCUUAGCACAUGCAAGUCGAGCGAGAAGUUUUGAAAAGAUUCUUCGGAUGAAAUUUAAAAUGGAAAGCGGCGGACGGGUGAGUAACGCGUAGGCAACCUGCCCCAUACAAAGGGAUAGCAUUUGGAAACGAAUAUUAAUACCUUAUGAAACUUAACUAGUGCAUGCUAGGUAGGUCAAAGAUUUAUCGGUAUGGGAUGGGCCUGCGUCUGAUUAGCUAGUUGGUGAGGUAACGGCUCACCAAGGCGACGAUCAGUAGCCGACCUGAGAGGGUGAACGGCCACAUUGGAACUGAGACACGGUCCAAACUCCUACGGGAGGCAGCAGUGGGGAAUAUUGCACAAUGGGGGAAACCCUGAUGCAGCAACGCCGCGUGAACGAUGAAGGCCUUUGGGUCGUAAAGUUCUGUUCUAGGUGAUGAAAACUGACAGUAACCUAGGAGAAAGCCCCGGCUAACUCCGUGCCAGCAGCCGCGGU
rnacentral:rRNA from 1 species